rnacentral:rRNA from 1 species
CAGCAGCCGCGGGAAUACGGAAGGUCCGGGCGUUAUCCGGAUUUAUUGGGUUUAAAGGGAGCGUAGGCCGCCCCUUAAGCGUGUUGUGAAAUGCGGGUGCUCAACAUCCGACUUGCAGCGCGAACUGGGGGGCUUGAGUGCGCCGAAAGUAGGCGGAAUUCGUGGUGUAGCGGUGAAAUGCUUAGAUAUCACGAAGAACUCCGAUUGCGAAGGCAGCUUACUGUAGCGCAACUGACGCUGAUGCUCGAAAGCGUGGGUAUCGAACAGGAUUAGAUACCCGCGUAGUCCCUGUCUCUUAUAC